rnacentral:rRNA from 2 species
GGGCGAGGGGGGCCUAUCUGCAAGGCGAAGAGUUCUCGUUGUUGAUCGGUGCUUGCACCGAGAUUCAAAUGGAAAGGGAAAGGACGGGUGAGUAACACGUGGGUAACCUGCCCCUUGGAGGGGGAUAACAUUUGGAAACAGAUGCUAAUACCGCAUAGAUCCAAGAACCGCAUGGUUCUUGGCUGAAAGAUGGCGUAAGCUAUCGCUUUUGGAUGGACCCGCGGCGUAUUAGCUAGUUGGUGAGGUAAUGGCUCACCAAGGCGAUGAUACGUAGCCGAACUGAGAGGUUGAUCGGCCACAUUGGGACUGAGACACGGCCCAAACUCCUACGGGAGGCAGCAGUAGGGAAUCUUCCACAAUGGACGCAAGUCUGAUGGAGCAACGCCGCGUGAGUGAAGAAGGCUUUCGGGUCGUAAAACUCUGUUGUUGGAGAAGAAUGGUCGGCAGAGUAACUGUUGUCGGCGUGACGGUAUCCAACCAAAAAGCCACGGCAAACUACCUGCCAACCACCGCGGUAAUACGUAGGUGGCAAGCGUUAUCCGGAUUUAUUGGGCGUUAAGCGAGCGCGGCGGUUUUUUAAGUCUGAUGUGAAAACCCUCGGCUUAACCGAGGAAGCGCAUCGGAAAUUGGGAAACUUGAGUGCGAAGAGGACAGUUGGAACUCUCAUGUGUACCGGUUGAAAUGCGUAGAUAUUAUGGAAGAACACCAGUGGCGAAGGCGGCUGUUUUGUCUGUAACUGACGCUGAGGCUCGAAAGCAUGGGGUAGCGAACAGGAUUAGAUACCCUGGUAGUCCAUCCCGUAAACGAUGAAUGCUAGGUGUUGGAGGGUUUCCGCCCUUCAGUGCCGCAGCUAACGCAUUAAGCAUUCCGCCUGGGGAGUACGACCGCAAGGUUGAAACUCAAAGGAAUUGACGGGGGCCCGCACAAGCGGUGGAGCAUGUGGUUUAAUUCGAAGCAACGCGAAGAACCUUACCAGGUCUUGACAUCUUUUGAUCACCUGAGAGAUCAGGUUUCCCCUUCGGGGGCAAAAUGACAGGUGGUGCAUGGUUGUCGUCAGCUCGUGUCGUGAGAUGUUGGGUUAAGUCCCGCAACGAGCGCAACCCUUAUGACUAGUUGCCAGCAUUUAGUUGGGCACUCUAGUAAGACUGCCGGUGACAAACCGGAGGAAGGUGGGGAUGACGUCAAAUCAUCAUGCCCCUUAUGACCUGGGCUACACACGUGCUACAAUGGAUGGUACAACGAGUUGCGAGACCGCGAGGUCAAGCUAAUCUCUUAAAGCCAUUCUCAGUUCGGACUGUAGGCUGCAACUCGCCUACACGAAGUCGGAAUCGCUAGUAAUCGCGGAUCAGCACGCCGCGGUGAAUACGUUCCCGGGCCUUGUUCGCACCGCCCGUCACACCAUGAGAGUUUGUAACACCCGAAGCCGUUCCUAACCCUUUUAGGGAGCGAGCCGUCUAAGGUGGGACAAAUGAUUAGGGUGAAGUCGUAACAA